AGUAAUAUUUAAAAGCAACUGAUUGUACAUGACUAAUGAUAGAAAUCGGCAGAGACUAGCUAGAAAUCAAGUGGCAGAUCACAGAAUUAAGAAUUCACAUAUUACAAGGAAGUGGAGUGUUGUUUGCAAGCAUCAAUGGUACAAAGAUGCAUCACAAGAGCAGUUAAAAAAGUAUCAUAAGCUCCAGUUACAAACAGAUUGAAUCUUCAGAGAGGAAGAUCAAGACCUUUCCCAACUUCCACCCCAAUCACUUGAAGUAUUCCUUUGUUCAAUAUAAAUUCUAAAAUGAAAACUCCAAUGAUGCCA
rnacentral:misc_RNA from 1 species